rnacentral:lncRNA from 1 species
CGCUCGACCGCCUUCACAUGCUGUUCUAGAACUCUCUCUUGAUUAGCAACCUACGGACAUUCUUCUACACAUCGUAAGAGAAGGGAAUGGCUGCACUGGUUGUAUGCAUCAUAAGUGCUUCAUAAUC